ACAGCAGCCGCCGCGGUAAUACGAAGGGUGCAAGCGUUACUCGGAAUUACUGGGCGUAAAGCGUGCGUAGGCGGUGGUUUAAGUCCGUUGUGAAAGCCCUGGGCUCAACCUGGGAAUUGCAGUGGAUACUGGGUCACUAGAGUGUGGUAGAGGAUAGUGGAAUUUCCGGUGUAGCAGUGAAGUGCGUAGAGAUCGGAAGGAACAUCUGUGGCGAAGGCGACUAUCUGGGCCAACACUGACACUGAGGCACGAAAGCGUGGGGAGCAAACAGGAUUAGAUACCCCCGUAGUCCCUGUCUCUUAUAC
rnacentral:rRNA from 1 species